rnacentral:rRNA from 1 species
UUUGNCUNCCUNCAGAGAACUUAGCAGAGAUGCUUUGGUGCCUUCGGGAACUCUGAGACAGGUGCUGCAUGGCUGUCGUCAGCUCGUGUUGUGAAAUGUUGGGUUAAGUCCCGCAACGAGCGCAACCCUUAUCCUUUGUUGCCAGCGGGUAAUGCCGGGAACUCNAAGGAGACUGCCGGUGAUAAACCGGAGGAAGGUGGGGAUGACGUCAAGUCAUCAUGGCCCUUACGGCCAGGGCUACACACGUGCUACAAUGGCGCAUACAAAGAGAAGCNACCUCGCGAGAGCAAGCGGACCUCAUAAAGUGCGUCGUAGUCCGGAUCGGAGUCUGCAACUCGACUCCGUGAAGUCGGAAUCGCUAGUAAUCGUAGAUCAGAAUGCUACGGUGAAUACGUUCCCGGGCCUUGUACAA